rnacentral:rRNA from 1 species
UUUUACGGAGAGUUUGAUCCUGGCUCAGGAUGAACGCUGGCGGCGUGCUUAACACAUGCAAGUCGAACGAUGAAGCCCAGCUUGCUGGGUGGAUUAGUGGCGAACGGGUGAGUAACACGUGAGUAACCUGCCCUUAACUCUGGGAUAAGCCUGGGAAACUGGGUCUAAUACCGGAUAGGAGCGUCCACCGCAUGGUGGGUGUUGGAAAGAUUUAUCGGUUUUGGAUGGACUCGCG